rnacentral:rRNA from 1 species
CAGUAGCCGCGGUAAUACGUAGGGUGCAAGCGUUAUCCGGAAUUAUUGGGCGUAAAGAGCUCGUAGGCGGUUUGUCGCGUCUGCUGUGAAAACUGGAGGCUCAACCUCCAGCCUGCAGUGGGUACGGGCAGACUAGAGUGCGGUAGGGGAGAUUGAAUUCCUGGUGUAGCGGUGGAAUGCGCAGAUAUCAGGGGGAACACCGAUGGCGAAGGCAGAUCUCUGGGCCGUAACUGACGCUGAGGAGCGAAAGCGUGGGGAGCGAACAGGAUUAGAUACCCCGGUAGUCCCUGUCUCUUAUACA